GUGCUCUUCAGCAGUACAUAUACAAAGUUGGAACAAUACAGACAUUAGCAUGGCCCCUGCACAAGGAUGACAUGCAAAUUUGUGAAAUGUUCCAUAUAUUU
rnacentral:snRNA from 1 species